rnacentral:pre_miRNA from 1 species
AUGACAUUCAGAACGUCGGUCUACCGAGCAAUAGCACUCGCUCGGUUCAUGAUUUUCCCUUUGACGU